rnacentral:rRNA from 1 species
GAACGAACGCUGGCGGCAUGCCUAACCCAUGCAAGUCGAACGAGGCCUUCGGGUCUAGUGGCGCACGGGUGCGUAACGCGUGGGAACCUGCCCUUAGGUUCGGAAUAACUCCCCGAAAGGGGUGCUAAUACCGGAUAAUGUCUUCGGACCAAAGAUUUAUCGCCUUUGGAUGGGCCCGCGUUGGAUUAGCUAGUUGGUAGGGUAAAAGCCUACCAAGGCGACGAUCCAUAGCUGGUCUGAGAGGAUGAUCAGCCACACUGGGACUGAGACACGGCCCAGACUCCUACGGGAGGCAGCAGUGGGGAAUAUUGGACAAUGGGCGAAAGCCUGAUCCAGCAAUGCCGCGUGAGUGAUGAAGGCCUUAGGGUUGUAAAGCUCUUUUACCCGGGAUGAUAAUGACAGUACCGGGAGAAUAAGCUCCGGCUAACUCCGUG